GCCAGGCGUGGUAGCCCACACCUGCAAUCCCAGGGACUUGGGGGCUGAGGCAGGAGGAUGGCAAGUUUAAGGCCAGCCUCAGCAAUUUAGCAAGACCUAGUCUCAA
rnacentral:sRNA from 1 species